CGAUGAUGCCCACUUGUGGGUGGAUUAGUGGCGAACGGGUGAGUNACACGUGAGUAACCUGCCCUUGACUCUGGGAUAAGCCUGGGAAACCGGGUCUAAUACUGGAUACGACCUUCUGGCGCAUGCCAUGUUGGUGGAAAGCUUUGGUGGUUUUGGAUGGACUCGCGGCCUAUCAGCUUGUUGGUGGGGUAAUGGCCUACCAAGGCGACGACGGGUAGCCGGCCUGAGAGGGUGACCGGCCACACUGGGACUGAGACACGGCCCAGACUCCUACGGGAGGCAGCAGUGGGGAAUAUUGCACAAUGGGCGAAAGCCUGAUGCAGCGACCCGCGUGAGGGAUGAAGGCCUUCGGGUUGUAAACCUCUUUCAGUAGGGAAGAAGCGUAAGUGACGGUACCUGCANAANAAGCGCCGGCUAACUACGUGCCAGCAGCCGCGGUAAUACGUAGGGCGCAAGCGUUAUCCGGAAUUAUUGGGCGUAAAGAGCUCGUAGGCGGUUUGUCGCGUCUGCCGUGAAAGUCCGGGGCUUAACUCCGGAUCUGCGGUGGGUACGGGCAGACUAGAGUGCAGUAGGGGAGACUGGAAUUCCUGGUGUAGCGGUGAAAUGCGCAGAUAUCAGGAGGAACACCGAUGGCGAAGGCAGGUCUCUGGGCUGUAACUGACGCUGAGGAGCGAAAGCAUGGGGAGCGAACAGGAUUAGAUACCCUGGUAGUCCAUGCCGUAAACGUUGGGCACUAGGUGUGGGGGACAUUCCNCGUUUUCCGCG
rnacentral:rRNA from 1 species